rfam:Myotis brandtii contig218998, whole genome shotgun sequence.
CCAAAGGCUCUUUUCAGAGCCACUCAGUUGUCAGUGUUAGAGCUGU